rnacentral:rRNA from 1 species
AUUGAACGCUGGCGGAAUGCUUUACACAUGCAAGUCGAACGGCAGCACGGGUGCUUGCACCUGGUGGCGAGUGGCGAACGGGUGAGUAAUGCACCGGAACGUAUCCAAUAAUGGGGGAUAACGCACCGAAAGGUGUGCUAAUACCGCAUACGCCCUGAGGGGGAAAGCGGGGGAUCGUAAGACCUCGCGUUAAUGGAGCGGCCGAUGCCGGAUUAGCUAGUUGGUGAGGUAAAGGCUCACCAAGGCGACGAUCCGUAGCUGGUCUGAGAGGACGACCAGCCACACUGGAACUGAGACACGGUCCAGACUCCUACGGGAGGCAGCAGUGGGAAUUUUGGGAC